GAUCCUGGCUCAGAUUGAACGCUGGCGGCAGGCCUAACACAUGCAAGUCGAACGGUAACAGAAAGCAGCUUGCUGCUUUGCCGACGAGUGGCGGACGGGUGAGUAAUGUCUGGGAAACUGCCCGAUGGAGGGGGAUAACUACUGGAAACGGUAGCUAAUACCGCAUAACGUCGCAAGACCAAAGAGGGGGACCUUCGGGCCUCUUGCCACUCGGAUGUGCCCAGAGUGGGAUUAGCUAGUAGGUGGGGUAACGG
rnacentral:rRNA from 1 species